CCUUUCAGAGAAAGCCCACUCCCUUAGUUCUACAGGCUUCAGUGUACGCCUGUGUGGGUCCUCUGGCUCUUGUGCAUGCCCUCCUUGUUGACUGAGCUACUGCGUUUUAUCAGCUCCCUUGACCUCUUUGGGACUGGAACCUUAAACUGCUGACAAGAUGCUCCUUCCCAGGACUCCUGGUUUGUGUCAGAGAUUGGUUUCAGUGCUAUUCAAAGCUGAGAGUGGCAUCCAUUUCCUGCACGCGUCUAUUUGGAAAUCAGGACAAAUCCAUUUCAGGCAGACCCUUUGGACAAGGGAAAAAGGCAGCCUCUUUUUCACCAAAAUAUCGUUCUGGUUAACCUCAGCCUCUCUUCAGACCAUUGGAUUGUUGGUGGUAGAUUGGGGUAGCAGGAGCAACAUUAUUGCAAUGGCUGUCUUAUGUGGGCAGACAUCACUCUCAGACUUCCUAAGUUACAGACAAGAAAAUCAAGUUUUGAUGUCCAGUUUCCUAAUGAGUGCAUCCACAGACGUUCUCAAGUCCCCCAAGACAUGCUCCUGGAAGCCACAGAGUUGAGGCAGAUCCACUGGUGCAUACAAGCUCUUCGACCUUGAGGAGGGACUACAGUUGACAGUGGUGUGGUCAGAUUUAUGCUUGCAGGGAAAAAAACCCUAUAUUUCCUGAAAUGGCUUAACUUAGUCCAGCUCUAACUGGAUUCUAUUGCUGUUUGAUUUCCAGAAGAGCAUGUGCCCGAUUGCCCAAGGGAGUAGGCAAUCCUCAGAAUGAAUAUUGAAAUACCCAGUCAUUAUUUGCUCUGGGGGACUGCCAGAGCUGCCUGCUGCCUGGGCUUUAGUGGAACUGAAAAGGGAGCUCCUAUUUUGAAAACUCAAAGUCAUUCUCUGGGGUUCCUUUCAUUAAGAUUGAAAUAAAGACCCUGACUAAACAUAGUUGAGCCACAACAACAUGUAUGAUGAGAAAGCACGUUGUGCCUGUGAUCACAAAACUUACAGUGACUCCGAGGGUCAAUCACUUGGACCAGAUCCCUCACCUACAUUUCCCCACUUGUAUCUGCAGAUGAACUGGUGAAAAGUCAACACCAAGAGCAGGUUUGAGAAAAGAGAUGUACACUAAGGAACCUACCAACAAGGCAUAUGAGCAGCUCAGAGAGCAGCACACGCAUCCAGGGAGGUGGUCAUACGUCUUUGAACUGCAUGCUUGUUUGAAAGCCACCUCCCCUAGCAUCCUUUGCAAAGGCAGAAUUUGUGAGAGGCAGAGGCAGCAAAGCAUGGAGCAAUGGGAUGGGCCGAAGAUUCCCUGGGCAUUUUUCUGAAGGCCCGUAGUUCUAAAGGUCACCCUGCUAACUGGGAAGGGAUUUCAUGGGUUGGUGGUGAGUCUGCCUCAGGAAAUGAUACAGUUGAGACUAGCCAUGGCAUUUAGGAUUCCCCCUUCUCUGUAGCGAUAGGCUGUGAUUGCUCUGAAGAAAAAAAAAUGAAAAGAAAACAAAAUUUCCCUUGGAGGAAUUGUGAAUCUUCUCACCACUGGAGGACAAUGACUCCUCUCAAAGCAGGUCCCAAGACCCCAUUAGGUAAAAUAUCCUGUUUUAAUAAUCAAAAGUAACAUUUUAUUUAAUUAUAGAAAGUAUACCAUUUAUUUUUUAAAAAAUGGCUCCGCCUUGCUCAACUUGCUGCCCUUGAAGACUGCAAAACACAGGGGCGCAGAGCCUUGCUUGCAUGGGGAAAAUUUGAGAUGCUGGGCCUGACUACAGCAUUCCCACGAAUAAAAGACUGGACCUUGAUUUAGGGAGAAGCUAGAGUUGGAGUUUCCAUGGCAACCAAAUCAGAAGCACAUAUUAACGGGAGGCAAAAGCAAUUGGCAGUUUGCCUGGGCAUCACUUAGAAGCAUUAGCCUCCUAAGGUGAGUGCUGUAAAUAAGAGUGCAGAGCAACCACUCAGGACCGGAAUCAAGUUCAACAGCCUUCACUCAUGCUGCCUGAGAAGGCUGUUUCACUGUUGGGGGCAAAGGUGUGCCCAGGAAGGUUCACAUACAGAAGGUCUGUGUAAGGUCAGGGACUGCAUCCCAUGCUUGGGACUCAUUUAUGAAAUUUCAUGCAUCUUUCUCACUCAGUGUUUACAAGUACAGGGUCAUAUUUCCCCAGCAUGGUCUUUUAGUGUGAUCUAGUUGUAUGGUGCUCCCGGUGUGGACCAGUUCCUGCCAUGGAAGCAUCAAAGUAUGUCCAGACCCAUCUGAACACAGAUACUGCCUUUUCAUGGUAUGUGUAAAAUGUUAGAGGCCCUUCAGUGGUAGCUUUUGGAUCUGCAAUUAAGGAUUGGGAUUAUCAGUUAGAUAUGAUGGAUGGGCCCUACUUUUGGCUACUGAAGAGCUAAUUUCAGAGUCAAGUUUGCUAACUUGUUUCCUGCAUAGCUUUAGGCAACUUGUUUUAGGCUCAGCUACCCCAUAUAUCAGAUGGGGAUAAUCAGUUUUCACCCAGAUUUCACAGGAUUAAAUAAUCUAUUCCAAGUUAAGGGAGCCUGGCUAUCUCCAUCAGAAAACAACUACUCUUUCUACUACACCCUCUUCACCCAUUUAUUUUUGCCAUGUUGAGAACCCCACAAUCUAGCUGUUACUGUCAGUUUUAUUUAAUUCUAUCUCACUAAAUUGUGAGUUCUUUGAAGACAAGAAAGCUACUUUAACUUGCCCCCCCACCCUGAGCAUUUCUCCUUUAUAUAGAUUAGUAUACUUGGACAAUAGCAAGGAGAUCAAUAAAUGUUGGUUUAAAUGAAUGUAGUUUUAUUAGGUGUAUUUGAAUAGAAUUGCAUUUACUGCCUUCUAAUUUUGUCAGCUACUCCUUCCUGGUGGGUGUAUCUAUACUGGACAAUAGUCAGGGCUGGGCGGCUUGGGUGAGCAGAAUCUAGAGUGGAUUCCAGAGUUUGGGCUGGGGUAGAAGCACCAUGGGCUUGGAGAAGUAAGCCUACUGUCUACUCAGUGUAAGGCCAUGCAGCCCCAUCCAUUUAAGCAAUGUUUCUGAAGCCACCACUAUUGUAUUAGCUGAAACAAUCCUGUUAAUAAGUCUCUCAAUCUCUUUCCCUACUUAUGAGCCCUCCCAAAAAACUUCCUCAUCUCUAAGAAAGAAGGAUGCCCUCACUGGCGAAGAGAGAAAGAUUAACAAUGACUUUCGAUUGGUAUCUAUCUUUUGAUACUUGUGUUUACACUGUGAAUUUUAAAUACAGAUAUUUGCCCUUUGUUUUAUAGAUGAAAUAACAAGAUGCAGCAUUUAUAAACUUGGAAAAUCACCCUGAGUUAAAUGAUUUUAAGAAUAAAAAUGUAGCAUGGUUUUCUAUUAUUUUUAACUUAGGGAAUUUGUAAACAUGAUCCCUGGUCCUAUAGGCACCAACUUUGCCCAGCUGCCAGAAUGUCAUAGCAGAGACAAGGGUCUGUAGUGCCAUCCUCCCAUCCCCAGGGCUCUUUAACCAUCCAUCAGUUGGAUGCUUGUCUGCCGCCAGCCAUUUAUGUACUCAAACAUGGGGAUGAUCUAAACUAAGUUCUUCUUGGUAUUCUUGACAGUGCAAUCCUGUAAUAACCAUAUGCUAUGACCCUUGCUUUUGUGGUCAGCAUUGCUCCAGAAAUGGCAGUGUGCCCUCACUGAAGUAAGCACUGAUAUGUUUACAGUUCUUCUAAAGGGGCGAAAAAUGACUAGAAGUUGAUUCUUAUGGACGUUGUAGUGUAAACUGAGGAAUCCAGUAUUUCUAUAACAUGAGUCAGAAUAAAUGGAAAUACUUCAAUGGUUCUUCCUCUGGAGUCAGUAUCACUGCAGUGUUUCAAAGCCAUGUAUCUUUAGUUGAUCUACUCCAUGGACCUACCUGCAGGUGCUUUUUAUUACACUACCCUGUAGAUGAUAAGACUGUGACCCAGCAAGAGAUCCUUUAAGUCAGGUAACUAUGGAACACUUUCUGUCAGCUUCA